AUUGAACGCUGGCGGCAGGCCUCACACAUGCAAGUCGAACGAGUGGCGGACGGGUGAGUAAUGUCUGGGAAACGGCCUGAUGGAGGGGGAAAACUACUGGAAACGGUAGAUAAUACCGCAUACAAUCGGCUGUGACCAGAUGGGAUGAGCUAGGAGGUGGGGUCAAGGCUCACAUAGGCGACGAUCCCUAGCUGGUCUGAGAGGAUUACCAGACCAACUGGAACUGAGACACGGUCCAGACUCCUACGGGAGGCAGCAAGGGGGAAUAUUGCACGAUGGGCGCAAGCCUGAUGCAGCCAUGCCGCGUGUAUGAAGAAGGCCUUCGGGUUGUAAAGUACUGUCAGCGGGGAGGCGUUACCCGCAGAAGAAGCACCGGCUAAGUCCGUGCCAGCAGACGCGGUAAUUC
rnacentral:rRNA from 1 species